rnacentral:rRNA from 1 species
GACGAACGCUGGCGGCGUGCUUAACACAUGCAAGUCGAACGGUGAACGAGGGAGCUUGCUCCCUCCUGAUCUGUGGCGAACGGGUGAGUCACACGUGAGCAAUCUGCCCCGCACUCUGGGAUAAGCGUUGGACACGACGUCUAAUACCGGAUACGACGCGGGAGGGCAUCCUCUCCGCGUGGAAAGAACUUCGGUUCGGGAUGAGCUCGCGGCCUAUCAGCUUGUUGGUGAGGUAACGGCUCACCAGGGCGACGACGGGUAGCCGGCCUGAGAGGGUGACCGGCCACACGGGGACUGAGACACGGCACAGACUCCUACGGGAGGGAGCAGGGGGGAAUAUUGCACAGUGGGCGCAAGCCUGAUGCAGCAGCGCCGCGUGAGAGACGACGGCCUUCGGGUUGUAAACCUCUUUUAGCAGGGAAGAAGCGAAAGUGACGGUACCUGCAGAAAAAGCGCCGGCAAAUUACGU